rnacentral:rRNA from 1 species
GGUUAAGCGACUAAGCGUACACGGUGGAUGCCCUGGCAGUCAGAGGCGAUGAAGGGCGUGCUAAUCUGCGAUAAGCGCCGGUAAGGUGAUAUGAACCGUUAUAACCGGCGAUACCCGAAUGGGGAAACCCAGUGUGAUUCGUCACACUAUCAUUAACUGAAUCCAUAGGUUAAUGAGGCGAACCGGGGGAACUGAAACAUCUAAGUACCCCGAGGAAAAGAAAUCAACCGAGAUUCCCCCAGUAGCGGCGAGCGAACGGGGAGGAGCCCAGAGCCUGAAUCAGCAUGUGUGUUAGUGGAAGCGUCUGGAAAGGCGCGCGAUACAGGGUGACAGCCCCGUACACAAAAGCGCAUGUGCUGUGAGCUCGAUGAGUAGGGCGGGACACGUGGUAUCCUGUCUGAAUAUGGGGGGACCAUCCUCCAAGGCUAAAUACUCCUGACUGACCGAUAGUGAACCAGUACCGUGAGGGAAAGGCGAAAAGAACCCCGGCGAGGGGAGUGAAAAAGAACCUGAAACCGUGUACGUACAAGCAGUGGGAGCACCCUUUGGGUGUGACUGCGUACCUUUUGUAUAAUGGGUCAGCGACUUAUAUUCUGUAGCAAGGUUAACCGAAUAGGGGAGCCGGAGGGAAACCGAGUCUUAACCGGGCGUUAAGUUGCAGGG